GGGGGGGGCAAGCGUUGUUCGGAAUUACUGGGCGUAAAGGGCUCGUAGGCGGCCAACUAAGUCGGAUGUGAAAUCCCCAGGCUCAACUUGGGAACUGCAUCCGAUACUGGAUGGCUUGAAUCCGGGAGAGGGAUGCAGAAUUCCAGGUGUAGCGGUGAAAUGCGUAGAUAUCUGGAGGAAUACCGGUGGCGAAGGCGGCAUCCUGGACCGGCAUUGACGCUGAUGAGCGAAAGCUAGGGGAGCAAACGGGAUUAGAUACCCCGGUAGUCCUAGCCCUAAACGAUGAAUGCUUGGUGUGGCGGGUAUCGAUCCCUGCCGUGCCGAAGCUAACGCAUUAAGCAUUCCGCCUGGGGAGUACGGUCGCAAGGCUG
rnacentral:rRNA from 1 species